rnacentral:rRNA from 1 species
UACAGAGGGGGCAAGCGUUAUUCGGAAUUAUUGGGCGUAAAGCGUGCGCAGGCGGUUUUGUAAGUCUGUCGUGAAAUCCCCGGGCUCAACCUGGGAAUUGCGAUGGAGACUGCAAGGCUAGAAUCUGGCAGAGGGGGGUAGAAUUCCACGUGUAGCAGUGAAAUGCGUAGAGAUGUGGAGGAACACCGAUGGCGAAGGCAGCCCCCUGGGUCAAGAUUGACGCUCAUGCACGAAAGCGUGGGGAGCAAACAGG